UUGCAUCCUAUAACUAGAAAUUUUAUAUAUUUAAUAAAAGACAACCAGAACUUUCGAAUUAACAAUACAUUAUACAAUAUAUAAUAAAAUACACAAAAAUGUGUAUUUAGAAAAGUGAAUUCAAAUAUCUAACAGAAUUAAAGUGCAAUAUGUAUUUACACAAAAACAACUUAAGGGUGAAAAUUAAGAUAAAAGAUUGAAAUAUACAAUUGCUUUGACAUUAUAAAGGUUAUGUUACUACUCUUUCUCCAGCUUAUCCUUUCGGGUAAUGCAACCUUGUAAGAACACAGGCAGACAACUAAUUAUGAAAAUGGCAACUCAUGUAUUUACUGAUAGGAUUACUCUAAAGUGAGGUGUACAUUGAAGAAAAAUAAGUGUAGCUACCACCAUUGAUUAGAAAUUCAACUUAAAACCCGCUCCAAAAACAAUCCUAAUCAUAAUCCAUUAACUCGAUCCCUUUAAUUCUGGAUUAACAUGCAUCGAAACCCAAUCCUUUUCAUCGUUAAGUUAUAAUUAAUUACAAGUAGAGUAAAAUAGAUCAAACACAAUGCAUGUAUUAUUCUACCUGGUUAUUGGACAGUGUAUGUAUUAUUCUACCUAGUUAUUGGACAUGUACAAUAUAACCCAAUUUUAAUUCAAAACAUGAUAACCCAGGCAAUCACUUCUUGUUACUGAUCAUGAUAAUAAGGUACCAGAUUUUCUAAACAUUUCCAACCAUUCUAACAUUUCGUAUGAUGCAUCAGUAAUAUUCAUACAACUUAACCCAAUCUCUCUAAAUCACCUAUUCAUAACCAUAUAACAAAACUUAUUCCUUUCUUAAAUAACCCUUUCACUUUAUUUUCAACUUUAUCCAUAUAUUAACUCAAUCAAGUCACACUCACAGAACCCGUAACUUUAACUUACACUAAAUAAAUUCUAAUGAUUUAUAAAACAUUAAAGUACAUACGCAACAAGACAAAUCAUUACUCAGUUUCGCAGAUACAAUUUCCAUUUCUUAUCCAUAAAUUAAUAUUCAUUUUUCUAAAUUCAAACACCAGUACCCUGUUAAUUUACUUCCCUAGUUCCUACAUGAAUUUUCCCCCUUUAUUCCANCUAANACAAUAUUCCUAAAGAGCACUAANUUCUACUUCAUUUCCAUACAUUCUUCAGUUUCAUAAACAGCAUCUCAAAAUCCCUAUUUUAUUAUUUUUGUAUCGAAUAGUUGGAAUAGAACACUCAACAAAAUCUUUCCCAAAAUCCCGAUUUCACCCCCUUUUUUACCAAUUGAUACAUUGAACCGAACCAAGCAUCAACACCCAAUUUCCUUUUCCCGAACACACAAAUCUAUCACAUUAAACAAAGCCAGAAUAAACAUGGAAUUACUGGUUUAACCGCAUAAUCAAAUUCUCUACCUUAUAACCCUCUGUAUCAUACAAAUUCCCAAUUCAAUAUUAACUAUUCAAAACAAAUACAUAUACCCAUAUCCCCUCCAAUUCGUACCUUAUCUUUUCCAUAACAUAGACACAGCUUUAAUUCAAAUAUAUAUAUAUAUAUAUCCAACUUUAUCCUUCUAAAACAUCUUCAAGUUAUAUACUCAUUAUUUCAACUCAUAUCAACCCUCAAUUCAAUUAGACGGAACAUAUACAAAUUUCCAGAUUAAGAAUACUCAAUUUCAAUACUACUAAACCCGAAAGAAUUCAUACAAUAAAGCCAAUAAAGCAANAUCUUUGGUUACUNUUCCCCUAACCCCUGCAUUGUUAACAUGCAUUGUACAAUUUUUCUUAAUGAAAUAUGCAAACAUCUAAAAUCACAGAUUGAGAUUCCCUUUAAAGUAAUCAAGAAAAUUUAUCACUGCUCNNN
rnacentral:lncRNA from 1 species